rnacentral:rRNA from 1 species
AUGAUUAAAGGAGAAGAUUGUUCUUUUACCAAACAUGUGCAGAUCAAAUCACGUCUUAUAAUAAGAAGAAAUCUUUCUCGGUAUCAAUCCCCUUGCCCCUCAUUCUUUGAGAAUCAGAAGGAUCCUUUUCGAGUUUCCAUUUCUUCAUUUGGAAUCUGGGCUCUUCUAUCUUCGACUUAUUUUUUUUGGCUUAUUUCUUUAUUUAUUUCAUUUCGAUUUUUCCCUCUUCCUCUAUCCCUAUCCUCUAGGUACAGCGUUUGCAUCAAUAGAGAACCUUUUCCUCUGUAUGAAUCUAUAUUAUUCCAUUCCAAUUUCUUCCCGAAACUUCCCAAGAAAACCCCCGAAUUGGAUCCAAAAUUGACGGGUUAA